rnacentral:rRNA from 1 species
UAAAAUGGGAGGUAAAUUUCUCCUAAGGCUAAAUAACGGCGAGAGACCGAUAGCGAACAAGUACCGUGAGGGAAAGAUGAAAAGAACUUUGAAAAGAGAGUUAAACAGUACGUGAAAUUGUUGAAAGGGAAACGAUUGAAGCCAGUCGUACCUAUGGGUAAUCAGCCUUUUGGGUGUGAUUUUGUGGAGCGUGAGGAGUUAAACGCCUUCAUGCCUGCAUAUUCGUGCACUUUGGGUGUACUUGCCCGUGUGUAAGUUAACAUCAAUUUUGGUGGUCAUAAAGUGGCUGGAGGAAUGUAGCUUCGAUCUUGUAUUGAAGUGUUAUAGCCUUCGGUAGAUGUGACGAUCGGGAUUGAGGAUUGCAACGGAUACCCUUCGGGGCUACCUGUCUGAUCUCUGAUUGUUGCUCUGGUGCCGAAAGCUUGCUUACGGUUAUCAAAGUCGAUGUUCAAUAGGUUAGAAAUGGGUUAAA